GCGUCUGAAACUGUUCUUUGUACUAUGCACUGCGAUAGAAACACAGUUGCCUCUCCCCUUUCAGCAGUUUUCAUUUGUGGUGAGAUUCUCUCCCAGGACACAAGACAUUUCCUCCUCUGAACCUUAUUUACUAAUUGGCUGGGCUCUCGUCCUUGUUUGCUGUGCACCAUCUGGAGCCUGCAUCACGCAUGGCCUCAGCCAGCCGAGAAGCAGAGAGCGUGGUGACGGGGCCGCUAGUGAGCUCCUCCUAUGUACCAGGUCCCGAGCUAAGAUUUUGAGAAACCUCGGUGAACUUGGCCCACAAAAUUCCCUGCCUUUGUGGAGCUUACCCUCAGUGUUGGGGAUUUGGGACUUACUUUUCCCAAAGCCAAGCUAAUUACUGUAAAAGGGAAACAAACGCCCGGUGAGCCUGGGCGCCCGGAGCGACAGAGUGGCAGGUGCCCGGGAGGCAGCGGCGCCAGCCCUGCCCAGCGCUGCGGCUCCUGGUGCCUGCAGGUGGGGCUGGGCUCCGAGACCGCGCGCCCGCUGCCCGGUUCACGCCGAGUCCCCAGCGGCGCGCCGCCCGGGCAGGUCUGGUCCCAGCAGAGGAGACCCAGGGGUCCCAGAGCGGCUCUGGCGGGAGACGUAGUGCGGGGGCUGGUGAUCGAAGAGCCCCAAGCGCAGCUGCCGCUCACAGUCCCCUUCUCGAGUGCAGAGCGGGCGGAGAAGUCCACUGCUUUUAAGACCCAGCACUGAAAAUGCAAUCUCAGGCGCCGGUGGUCGUUGUGACCCAACCUGGAGUCGGUCUGGCACCCCAGAACUCCAACUGGCAGACAAGCAUGUGUGACUGCUUCAGCGACUGCGGAGUCUGUCUCUGUGGCACGUUUUGUUUCCCAUGCCUUGGGUGUCAAGUUGCAGCUGAUAUGAACGAAUGCUGUCUGUGUGGAACGAGCGUCGCAAUGAGGACUCUCUACAGGACCCGAUAUGGCAUCCCUGGAUCUAUUUGUGAUGACUAUAUGGUAACCCUUUGCUGUCCUCAUUGUUCUCUUUGCCAAAUCAAGAGAGAUAUCAACAGAAGGAGAGCCAUGCGUGCUUUCUAAAAACUGAUGGUGAAAAGCUCUUACCGAAGCAACAAAAAUCAGCAGACACCUCUUCAGCUUGAGUUCUUCACCAUCUUUUGCAACUGAAAUAUGAUGGAUAUGUUUAAGUACAACUGAUGGCAUGGAAAAACUCAAAUUUUUGAUUUAUUAUAAAUGAAUGUUGUCCCUGAGCUUAGCUAAAUGGUGCAACUUAGUUUCUCCUUGCUUUCAUAUUAUCAAAUUUCCUGGCUUAUAAACUUUUAAAAUUACAUUUGAAAUAUAAACCAAAUAAAAGAUUUUACUGACAAGA